rnacentral:rRNA from 1 species
AUGAACGCUAGCGACAGGCCUAACACAUGCAAGUCGAGGGGCAGCGGGGAGGUAGCAAUACCUUUGCCGGCGACCGGCGCACGGGUGAGUAACACGUAUGCAAUCCACCUGUAACAGGGGGAUAACCCGGAGAAAUCCGGACUAAUACCCCAUAAUAUGGGCGCUCCGCAUGGAGAGUCCAUUAAAGAGAGCAAUCUUGGUUACAGACGAGCAUGCGCUCCAUUAGCCAGUUGGCGGGGUAACGGCCCACCAAGGCGACGAUGGAUAGGGGUUCUGAGAGGAAGGUCCCCCACAUUGGAACUGAGACACGGUCCAAACUCCUACGGGAGGCAGCAGUGAGGAAUAUUGGUCAAUGGUCGGCAGACUGAACCAGCCAAGUCGCGUGAGGGAAGACGGCCCUACGGGUUGUAAACCUCUUUUGUCGGAGAGUAAAGUGCGCUACGUGUAGCGUAUUGCAAGUAUCCGAAGAAAAAGCAUCGGCUAACUCCGUGCCAGCAGCCGCGGUAAUACGGAGGAUGCGAGCGUUAUCCGGAUUUAUUGGGUUUAAAGGGUGCGUAGGCGGCACGCCAAGUCAGCGGUGAAAUUUCCGGGCUCAACCCGGACUGUGCCGUUGAAACUGGCGAGCUAGAGUGCACAAGAGGCAGGCGGAAUGCGUGGUGUAGCGGUGAAAUGCAUAGAUAUCACGCAGAACCCCGAUUGCGAAGGCAGCCUGCUAGGGUGCGACAGACGCUGAGGCACGAAAGCGUGGGUAUCGAACAGGAUUAGAUACCCUGGUAGUCCACGCCGUAAACGAUGAUUACUAGGUGUGGGGGGACUGACCCCUUCCGUGCCGGAGUUAACACAAUAAGUAAUCCACCUGGGGAGUACGACCGCAAGGUUGAAACUCAAAGGAAUUGACGGGGGCCCGCACAAGCGGAGGAACAUGUGGUUUAAUUCGAUGAUACGCGAGGAACCUUACCCGGGCUCAAACGCAGGGGGAAUAUAUAUGAAAGUAUAUAGCUAGCAAUAGUCACCUGCGAGGUGCUGCAUGGUUGUCGUCAGCUCGUGCCGUGAGGUGUCGGCUUAAGUGCCAUAACGAGCGCAACCCCUAUGGACAGUUACUAACGGGUGAAGCCGAGGACUCUGUCUAGACUGCCGGCGCAAGCCGCGAGGAAGGUGGGGAUGACGUCAAAUCAGCACGGCCCUUACGUCCGGGGCGACACACGUGUUACAAUGGCAGGUACAGAAGGCAGCCAGUCAGCAAUGACGCGCGAAUCCCGAAAACCUGUCUCAGUUCGGAUUGGAGUCUGCAACCCGACUCCAUGAAGCUGGAUUCGCUAGUAAUCGCGCAUCAGCCAUGGCGCGGUGAAUACGUUCCCGGGCCUUGUACACACCGCCCGUCAAGCCAUGGAAGCCGGGAGUACCUGAAGCAUGCAACCGCAAGGAGCGUACGAAGGUAAUACCGGUAACUGGGGCU